CCCAUCCCCGGCGGCGGAUACCUCGCUCUCGAGCUCAUUGCUAAAUCCUAAACCAACAGAAAAUGUGAAUUCUACGUAAACACAAAACCAAAAUCUGAUGAGAAUUGGGGUUAGGGUUUAUGAAAAAAUGUAGGCCUAAAUAGAAGGAAAUUGUUAAGGUUAAUUAGAAAUGGGAGCGAAGAAUUUUUUAAAAUUAUAGAAAACGGAAGCGUUGAGAAGGUGAACGAUCAACUGGAGAUGGUGUAACCGUUCUAGGGCUUGGAUGAAAGAUUGAACCGGCGCGACAUUAUUAUUAUUAUUAUUAUUAUUAUUAUUAUUAUGAUAUAUAUAUAUAUAUAUAUCUGAUGAGAAUUGGGGUUAGGGUUUAUGAAAAAAUGUAGGCCUAAAUAGAAGGAACUUGUUAAGGUUAAUUAGAAAUGGGAGCGAAGAAUUUUUUAAAAUUAUAGAAAACGGAAGCGUUGAGAAGGUGAACGAUCAACUGGAGAUGGUGUAACCGUUCUAGGGCUUGGAUGAAAGAUUGAACCGGCGCGACAUUUUUUUUUUUUUUUUUUUUUUUUUUUAUAACAGGAAGGAAGCGGAUCUAUUGGACUCGUUACAAUAUCGUUUUUUAUUUUUUCAAUAAAAAAACAUUUUUAAAAUUGC
rnacentral:lncRNA from 1 species